GACGAACGCUGGCGGCGUGCUUAACACAUGCAAGUCGAGCGGAAAGGCCCUUCGGGGUACUCGAACGGCGAACGGGUGAGUAACACGUGAGUAAUCUGCCCUGCACUCUGGGAUAGCCUUGGGAAACUGAGAUUAAUACCGGAUAUGUUCACUUCCCGCAUGGGAUGGUGGUGGAAAGUUUUUCGGUGCAGAAUGUGCUCGCGGCCUAUCAGCUUGUUGGUGGGGUAAUGGCCUACCAAGGCUUCGACGGGUAGCCGGCCUGAGAGGGUGACCGGACACACCGGGACUGAGACACGGCCCAGACGCCUACGGGAGGCAGCAGGGGGGAAUAUUGGACAAUGGGCGGAAGCCUGAUCCAGCAACGCCGCGUGAGGGAUGACGGCCUUCGGGUUGUAAACCUAUUUCAGCACAGACGAAGCGCAAGUGACGGUAUGUGCAGAAGAAGGACCGGCCAACUACGUGCCAGCAGCCGCCGUAA
rnacentral:rRNA from 1 species